AUGCAGNUCGAACGGGACUAAAUCCGUUAGCANGUACAGGNUUUAAUUUAGCUGGCGAACNGGAUGCGGUAACACGCUGGGCAAUCAUGCCGAGAAGUGGGGNAUAGCUCGCCGAAAGGCGAAUUAAUACCGCAUAUGAUCAUGCUAAGACAUCUUAGCGACAUCAAANCCGGNGCAACCUGGCGCUUUUUGAGGAGCCCGCGGCCUAUCAGCUAGUUGGUGAGGUAACGGCUCACCAAGGCUAUGACGGGUAGCUGGUCUGANAGGACGACCAGUCACACUGGAACUGANACACGGUCCAGACACCUACGGGUGGCAGCAGUCUANAAUUUUUCUCAAUGGGGGCAACCCUGAAGGAGCGACGCCGCGUGGANNAUGAAGGCUUUCGGNUUGUAAACUCCUGUCAUUUGAGAACAAGUGUANCCNAGUAACUACUGGCUACUUGAUAGUAUCAGAAGAGGAAGAGACGGCUAACUCUGUGCCAGCAGCCGCGNUAAUACAGAGGUCUCANGCGUUGUUCGGAUUCAUUGGGCGUAAAGGGUGCGUAGGUGGCGCCAUAAGUCAGGUGUGAAAUUUCGNAGCUUAACUCCUAAACUGCAUUCGAUACUGUGGUGCUUGAGGACUGNCAGAGGANACUGGAAUUUACGGUGUAUCAGUGAAAUGCGUAGAGAUCAUNAGGAAGACCAGUGGCGANCGCGGGUCUCUGNACAGNUCCUGACACUGAGGCACGAANGCCAAGGGAGCUAACUGCAUCAGAUACCCCCGGUAGUCCUGGCAGUAAACNGUGCACGUUUGGUGUGGGAGGAUUCCACCCCCUU
rnacentral:rRNA from 1 species